rnacentral:rRNA from 1 species
UUCCACGGUCUCCGUGUCGCAGCUAACGCAUUAAGUUCCCCGCCUGGGGAGUACGGCCGCAAGGCUAAAACUCAAAGGAAUUGACGGGGGCCCGCACAAGCGGCGGAGCAUGCGGAUUAAUUCGAUGCAACGCGAAGAACCUUACCAAGGCUUGACAUAUACGAGAACGGGCCAGAAAUGGUCAACUCUUUGGACACUCGUAAACAGGUGGUGCAUGGUUGUCGUCAGCUCGUGUCGUGAGAUGUUGGGUUAAGUCCCGCAACGAGCGCAACCCUCGUUCUAUGUUGCCAGCACGUAAUGGUGGGAACUCAUAGGAGACUGCCGGGGUCAACUCGGAGGAAGGUGGGGAUGACGUCAAAUCAUCAUGCCCCUUAUGUCUUGGGCUUCACGCAUGCUACAAUGGCCGGUACAAAGGGCUGCAAUACCGUAAGGUGGAGCGAAUCCCAAAAAGCCGGUCUCAGUUCGGAUUGAGGUCUGCAACUCGACCUCAUGAAGUCGGAGUCGCUAGUAAUCGUGGAUCAGCAACGCCACGGUGA